UUAGCUAUCAAAUCUUGAUGUGAAAUACACUAAAGGAGGGAAGGCUGCUCAAACUCUGUCCCUCUCUGCUCAGGAUAUGGGGGUCCGGCUCCCUGGGUCAGAGGCCGGAGUCCAGGCUUAGCAGCUGCUGCUUCCCCCAAGGGGGCAGGGGGAGAGAGGUGCUUAAUUAAGGCUUCCUCUGUGCCCGGCCAAGAUGAGGACUUUCUCCGGCUGGUACUGGCCCCCUAGGGCAGCCCUAGGCCCUGUUAAUACUAAAUUCUGAGCCAGAGACUCCAAGUAAUUGAGAGAGACCUCCGGGAAAAUGCUGGCUGUUGUCAGGGCUUGGCUGUGUGUGUGUCCUCUGCGUGCUGCACCAGCUCUGGCCAGGUAGCCGGCACCACAAGCCUGGAUCGAACUGCCCAAGAAGACCACAGAUUUGGGUUGAGUGGCAAAGGCGCUUGGCCAGGUUUAUUGUUAACAAUGCACGGUCCUAAUGCCCGGCAGGCUGUUUGGCGACAAUAACACAGGGACACCCAUUACCAUGGACUUGGCUCAGACAGUGCUGGGACUUUCCACCCCCUCUGGGACCCCUCUCUUCUACACUGUUACAAACAAGUUAUGUGUUACCUCUCUGACGUAGUUAGUUACCACCCUUCACCUUGCACUUGGUGGUUAGAUCAAAAGAUCUCUGUCCAUCAGCCUGUCAUCCUGCCCUGAUCUUUAGGAAAGGUCAGUGUGUCCCUGUAUCAUCUCUGCGGAGUGUGUUUAUACCAUAACUUUGUAUCGGGGUGUUCUGGAACUACCCCUCUGGUAGGUGUUUCCGUGGCUUCUUAGUGCCUGGAACUGCUUGCGUUUGUCCAACGCCAGCCCUGUUCUUACCAAGUGCAUGUACCAGACGGUGAACUUGCAAGCAGGCUUCUGUUUCAUAACAGGGCCUGAGUUUUGCUCAUAGUCCCACUCUUGGUAACUUUGCUUUACAGGAGCAGAGCCUGCGGCCUUACACCAGGCCUUUCUACCAGGCCUCAUAUCUCAGGCUUUCUCUUUCUGUUACACUGGGGACUGGCAAAAAAGUGACUCUGCUCAGGCAGCCCCUCCCACUAGCAAUUCCAAGAGCAAACCCAGCCAUGGGAGAGCAAUGGGACUUUCCCAGCCCGAGGGGCAGGGAGAGGGGACACAGGAAAGAGACUGAAAAGGGAAGUGGGAGAAAUGAGUGGGGAGAGAGAUUUCCAGAUCUCUGAUCUGCCCAGUCACACGUAUUGCAGCAUCCCUGGGCAGAAUCACUUUCCUGUGGGCAAAAUGAGGAUAUGAGAGAGGAAAAGCCAGUUCCUGAUGCUGUAUCCCUCCUGCUGGGGUGUGGCUGCCCUGGGGUCAGUGUCAGAGAGAAUCCCCCCAAGUGAUUCCUUUGGUUCUGCAAUUUUCUAGCAGAGACUUUGUUCCUGGAGAGGCUUAAAAAUGUGUCUGUGAGCUUAGCCUGGCAGGAGGGGCCAGGUCUACACUGUAAUACAGAGAACAAGCAUUUUCCCAGCAUGGCAGAAUCUAGGCUGCCUGUCUGCAGGGAAAGGGCCUGGGGGAAUCGUGAUGUGAAAUGAACUAAAGCCCGUUCCUAAACCUGCACAACUGCCCUUCUCGCCCUGCCAGGCUGCAGAAUGACGCCCACGUUUCGCUCCAGCUCAUCCCAGCCUCCCUUGGGACAGGGAAGAGAAAUGGCUGCAGUGAAGCCAGAUCAGCUAUGGAUUAUUGGGAGUUACUUCUGGGUUCCUGCAGGUGGGAGAGGGACAGCAAAUACACAGGAGGGGCCGGUGACCUUCGAGGAGGUGGGUGUGUAUUUCACCAGGGAAGAGGGGGCUCUGCUGGACCCCGCUCAGAGAGCCCUCUACAGAGACGUCAUGCAGGAGAACUACGAGAAUGUGACCUCGCUGGGUAAGGAUUCCCAUCCCCUCGCUUAUUAGAAGGGGGAAUGAGGAGUUAUGGUAUAUGUCAUGCCCACAAUGCCACCUCUACUCUGCCCUGUCUCAGCAUCACCCCAACAUGCCAGUGACCCACACAGUAGCCCGCUGCCCUCCCCUGCUACCCAGCACCCUGGGAACAGAGCACAGGAGAACUACAGCACAGUGUCAGAUUUCUCCUGUUUGCUCAGGUAAAACUGGGGGUUGGGUCCAGCAUAACGAACAGAAGCUUCCAACCCCUGCCCCUCACUCGAACCCCGAGCCUACUCCACCCAGACCAGCUCCGACUUGCAAAGUGAUCCCACUCCCUUACCCUCACCGUGAGGUUUCCUUCUGAGUCGUUGCCUUCACUUGCCCCUCACUAAGCCCUGGAGACCACUAGCGUGUAUCCCACCAGAGUGCUGGCAAUCCUCAGGGCAGGAACUCGCCCUUGUGCAGCUUUAGCGACCGCAACCUACAACACUGAGCACUGAAAUGGGGCAGGCUCGGUCCCUCAGGGGUCACGUGCACCUCUCCGCAUAUCACAGUCCCAGCUCUGCCAAGCUGCUCCAGCUCGUCCCUCCACCGUCCGAUUACAGCUACACCUGGCCCAGUGCACACAGCCGGAGGGCAUGUGGAUAAAUGCUGGGAUUCCCGUCUGGAGAACACAACACAAACAACGGCAUGUUCUUAGUCCUUCCUUAUAUCUAUUCUAGAUUCAUAGAUUUUUAUUUUUUUUGUUAAGGCCAAAAGGGAUGAUUAGGCUUUGUAGUCUGAUUUCCUGUAUAACUCCAUCCAGUUACUGCUGCACUGAGCUGAAUAUGUUGUGUUUGACUAAAUCACCUUCCGGAAAGGCAGACAGUUUGACACGAAGACUUCAACAGAGGGAGAAUUCUCCAGUUCCUGGGGUCGUCUGUUAACCUUUGCACCACCCUGGCAGAACCAUUCCCAGAGGCUCUUACCAGCUGCAGGGUUUCAGUUGGGAGCAGAGUUAAGGUUGCAUUGCAGGGGGGCAGCACUGGGCAACCUUAGCUCUGCAGUAAAGUAGUUUCUGGGCAUUUAGUUUGCUACAUUUUUUUAGUGGACAUUUUGCCGCUAUAACUGUGUCUUUUGCCAACAUAGCUAUGUUGGUUUAGGGGGAGAGGGGCCCCUAUAGAGCAGAGCUGUCCUGGCAAAACUGUAAAGAGCAGACCAUGUCAGAGCCUGCGUGUGGAUUUUACAGCACUUGAAAAUAUUCUCAACGGGGAAGCAAAACACACUUUACUGGACUUUGUACAAUUUGUCCUCAUCUUUCCUGAAAUAUGGCACCCAGAACUAGACGUAAUACUCCAGUUCAGGCCUAAUCAGUGCAGAGUAGAGCAGAAGAGCUAAUACGUUCCAGAAUUACGUUUGCUUUUUUUGCAACACUGUUCAAUCAUGUUUAGUUCGUGAUCCACUAUGAACCCCAGAUCUUUUUCUGCAGUGCUCCUUCCUAGGCAGUCCUUUCCCAUUUUGUAUGUGUGCAGUUGAUUUUUCCUUCCUAAGUGAAGUACUUUGCAUUUGACCGUAUUGAAUUUCAUCCUAUUUAUUUAAUACCAUUUUUCCAGUUUGUCCAGAUCAUUUUGAAUUUUAAUCCUAUUCUCCAAAGCACUUGCAGCCCCUCCCAGCGUGGUAUUGUCCACAAACUUUAGAAGUGUACUCUCUAUGCCAUUAUCUAAAUCACUGAUGAAGAUACUGUACAGAACUGGACCUUUGGGAUCCCACUCAAUAUGCCCUUCCAGCUUGACUGUGAACCACUAAUAAUUACUCUCUGGGAACAGUUUUCCAACCAGUUUCGCACCCAUCUUACAGUAGCUCCCUCUAGGUUGAAAUUUCCCUAGUUUGUUUAUGAGAAGGUCAUGGGAGACCGUAUCAAAAGUCUUACCAAUGUCAAGAUAUACCACAUUUAUCGCUUACCCCCUAUUCACAAAGCUCGUUACCCUGUCAAAGAAAGCUAUCAGGUUGGUUUGACACGGUUUGUUCUUGACAAAUCCAUGCUGACUGUUACCUAUCACCUUAUUAUCUUCUAGGGGUUUGCGUAUUGCUUGCGUAAUUAUUUCCUCCAUUAUCUUUCUUGCGACAAAUCGUACUGUUAGUUUGUUUCCAUGGUGGAAGCUGCAGGGUGUACCCCUGUACAUCCAAAUGUACCCCCAACAUGCUAUUAUCUAAACUCUCAGGAUCCUGUUUGUUUUGUGUGUAAAUUUUCUAAUUUCACAAUCUCUUCAUUAGCAUUUGGCUCAGCAUACAAACUGUAACACCUCCCCCAUCUGUCUCCUGUCUUAAUCUUAGUCCCUUUGGGGGUUCUGUGUCUGUAGAAUUUCCAGCACAGUGGGAUCUGGUCAGUGACUGGGGAUAUGAGCAUUACAGUAAUAAAAAUAAUAAAUAACUGUAAUUCGGAGGGUCCAGGCAGUGGGAGGGAGGCUGUUGGAGAGCAGGGGAGUGUCCAGGUGGUGGUAAGCUGGUGGGGGGUAGGUUUGGGGUGAAGCGUUCCUGUGAGCUGGGACGUCUGGGGUAGGGGAAAGGAGAUGUAUCAUGGGGUAGGUUCUGUAGGGAGUUGCGAUGCAAUGGAGGGCUGGAAGAAAUGGGAAGGAUCAGGAUGUCAAGGAGUUGGGAAGGGGGGGGUGCGAGUAAAGGGGAGGUGGGGGCUGGGUAGUGUUUGCUCCAGGAAAUGGGGGAACUAGCAAUGGGAGGGAGGGAACAGGAGCUCUUGGGAGUCGGAAGCAAAGAUGACUUGGGGCAGAGGGAAGGUGAGAUGGGAAGUGGCUGGGCCGUGGGAAAUUUGGGGGACACUCUAGUGAGGAAGGCUGCAGGCAAUGGGAGGGGAGGAGAGAACACAAGGAGCGGGUGCUCCUGGGGCCCAAGAAGGUGGAGAGGGGUGAGAGCAGUGGGUGGAAGGGGAGCGGGUGUUGUAAUGAGUGAGAGGACUAGGUGCACCCUGUCCCCUUCCUGGUGUCUCUCAGUGCCCCCCCCCCGGCCCCCCACAGUGUCAGGCUUCCUGCCUUUUCCUCUCCGAGACUGGAAUUCUGCAACUAUCCUGCUCCUAGAAUAGACCAGGGCUACAAUGUCCUAUUUAUCCACUGUGCUUACCCAGCAGGCCUGGCACAAAUAUGCACUUCCUUGGUUAUGUCUGUGACCCUCACAGCAUCCCGGGGCAAGUGGCUCUGUGGUAUCUGAUAACAAGUUUCAGCUGGCCUGACCCAUUCAGUGUACCCCAACUCACUAAUGUCUUCACCUGUAUUGAAAAGGUGUCACGUAAGAUAUCAACAGAAAGCUACGGACAUAAUGUUCAUUAAUAUUAUUGCAUGGUGUAUGUAUGGAGGAGAAAUGCAAGAUUACAGAUAGCUGGGAAAUGGUGUUCUUAAAGCAUGUCUGUCAGCCAGGGUUGAAGUUCCCCCACUCUAGACAAAGGCAGGUGGUUCUGCCACCUUGAAGGCACUUCCAGGGUACAUUAAGAGACAAUGGGAAUGCAAUUUACAUAACCAAUAAACAAACCCAUCACACUAACAAGGGGCAGAGAGAACCACUGAGCAUCAUGGCAGGGGAGGAUAUCGCAGGAACAGACCAAAUUCUAUUUUAGCAAACACCAGCAGGGGAAGAAAUCGCCAUGGAACUUCAUUUAAGAAGACAAAGGAACCAAGCCCUUUGGACUUUGGGGGAAAUAUUGAGCAAAGGGGUGCUCUGCCCUCUUGCUGGAAAAUAGUGUGGUCAGAAUCUUACCUUGGACCAGGACUAUAGUUUUAUUAGGUCAUUGUUCACUUCCACUUCCUGGUAACCGUUUCUAACUCUGUUGUUUAUACCUGAACUCACUUUAAAUGCUUGUGUUAGAUUAAACAUUUAGUAAAUGAAUCCGGUGCCGUCUUUGAAUACAAGUGAUGGCUAUCUCCAAUUAAAGUGAUAAGCUGGGCCAUUUGUCUCUUCUGAGGAACAACCAAUCCUUAUUCCUCUGAACAGUCCUGGAGAAAGUAGCCAUUGCAGAGCACAUGGUUUUGGGAAAAUUCAGGAGUGGGGAUGUUGCGAUCUCUUGCCAGUUGUGUCCAAGGCCGUGGAAGCCAGAAUGCGUCAGGGGUGCCGGAAGCAGGCUGCUGGAGUCAGAGCAGCUAGUCCAGGGUCACUUAUCACACAGACACUCAGUGUGUCCUUGAAUGCUGGCUGGGAGCAUCCAGACAAGGGAGCUCCAGCAACAGAACAUUGAAACUCACCCGGGAUUACAGAUGACACAACUCCGCACUGGUCUGGAUUGCACCCCAGAGUGUGAAAAUGGCCUAGGCACCUUGGAUCUUGGAGUCCAUCAUUCCUGGAGUCACCUGGCCUGAUUCUUAUUUUUCACAUUCUGUUUUUCCAGAAGGAAAUGGUAAACCCCAGAAACUGCUAAAGUAGAAAGCAAUGUGUAUCUGUGUGUGUACGUGCGCAUGAGGGGAUGAGAAUAACUCCUACACAGUACCAAAAGGCAACACGCCCUCAGAGCCAAACGGGGCGGGAGGGAGAAGUGAUGCCUGUAACAGAAGAGCCUAUCCCAGUUGUCAGCUGACAGCGUUCUGCUGCUGAGCAGAGGGCACGCCCCACUCUAGAGAGCAUAAGGAAGUGUGUGCUGGAGGGGGCCCCUGGAAGGGAAAAGGGAGAGACGCUUUAAGAAGAUAAGAAGGGAGACUCCUGUGGGGAAGAAGAAAAGCCCUGGGCAGCCUUAUAAGCAGUUGAUUGUACCCGUCCAGCAGCAGGGGGAGGGAGGCGUGUAAUGUUGUUAGCACAUAACUGUCCUUUUGCUAGUCACUCAGGGGGGAAUGCCCAGGAUAGAGGGGGUAACUCAGCCUCUGUCCACCCCAGUAGGCAACCUAUAACUCAGGCUGAGAGAGUGAACCGUGUGGCUGACCUUCGGAGGAGAGCAGUUACCCAGCCAGCUCCUUGGGGCACACAGGGUGAUGACAGACAGGCUCCCACUCCAGCCCCUGGUGUACAUGUCCUGUUGUACUGAAUUCAGGCACCUGUGAUCCCCCAUGAGAAUGGGAAGGUUUAGAAAGUAAUCUGACCUUGGGGGAGGUAAAUGAUAUCCCCAUUCUUGGGAAUGUUUUUUUUUCUAUGUGGCUAUGGCUGUCAAUAGGGCACGUUAGCUAAAGGCACAAGAAUCUUAGAUCCUCCUGUUAACACGAGUUCUGCCAUUCGACCAGGUAACCUGUCAGUCUCUAGGUCCACCCUUUGUUUAACCAGAGAAAUCUGUGCACCAUCCUAUUUCCAUCCCAUGGAUGCCUGCCCGUUGAUUUUGACAACCUUAAUAUGCUCCAUAUCUGUCUCUGCAGAGCCAGUUCUCUCAAAAUGUGUCAGGUAGACUCCAGACAGCUGUGGGGCUUUUGGGCUAAUGCUAGCUGCAUUAACAUGGAUUGGUUGGGGCUUGGUUUCUUUCAGCAGGGUACUGAUAGACUGAUAACACCUUCUUGGGCUCUCUUCCUUCACAGGCAGUCUGUGAUGGAGAUUACCAGGAGAGGAAUGAUUUGGGGUGGGGGGAAUGCCUCGGCUCCCAAAUAUCAUUUUUCCUAGGGGCAAAAUGAGAUCCCCCCCCCCUUAUAUUUCCUCUCCUUCUCAGCUUCUGUGGCUCUUGCUUAAAAUAACAAGCUGUGCGUAGAUCUUGCUCACCGCGCCACGGUGACGUUACCCAGGGUACAAUCUGGACUGUUGAACAGCCGUGUCCCCUCAGUUCCCCAAUGUGGGGUGCCUUUUGCACUCCUGGGUAGUUAACCCACAGUCUCCAGCCUGUAACUCGCUCCUAGCUGCAGAGUAUUGAGUGCUACUAGUCCGGGGGGGUCUCACGACAUAGGUUUUGGUGGCCUUGGAGUGCGGCCACGAACUCUUGCUGGCUGCUGCGCUGACCAUUUUCCCUAAAAUACUUAAUUAGCUUUAGGAAAAACAAAAAUAGGCACCUAUGCAUGUCCAAAGCAUUGUAAUUUAUGUAGGGGGUUUUUGCAGACUCAAUAAUAAAAUAAUGUACAGUUGUCUCGAUUCUUUUUUGGACCUUAACAGCAGAGAGGUGCUUAACAAAUAAGGUGCUUUGCAUGUUCUUGUCUUUUGUUCUCGUUUCUUUUGCAUUUGUGGUGGUGGUUUUUUUUCUU